rnacentral:tRNA from 1 species
CCCUGGUUAGCUCAGUUGGUAGAGCGCUCCACUGGAAAUGGAGAGGUCCCGGGUUCGAUACCCGGGUCAGGCG